GAUGAACGCUGGCGGCGUGCCUAAUACAUGCAAGUCGAGCGAACGGGCGAGAAGCUUGCUUCUCUGAUGUUAGCGGCGGACGGGUGAGUAACACGUGGAUAACCUACCUAUAAGACUGGGAUAACUUCGGGAAACCGGAGCUAAUACCGGAUGAUAUUUUGAACCGCAUGGUUCAAAAGUGAAAGACGGUCUUGCUGUCACUUAUAGAUGGAUCCGCGCUGCAUUAGCUAGUUGGUAAGGUAACGGCUUACCAAGGCAACGAUGCAUAGCCGACCUGAGAGGGUGAUCGGCCACACUGGAACUGAGACACGGUCCAGACUCCUACGGGAGGCAGCAGUAGGGAAUCGUCCGCAAUGGGCGAAAGCCUGACGGAGCAACGCCGCGUGAGUGAUGAAGGUCUUCGGAUCGUAAAACUCUGUUAUUAGGGAAGAACAUAUGUGUAAGUAACUGUGCACAUCUUGACGGUACCUAAUCAGAAAGCCACGGCUAACUACGUG
rnacentral:rRNA from 1 species